rnacentral:lncRNA from 1 species
GCGGGCAGCCGCCAGGGCGAGGCGACCCGGUGCGGGGGGACUCCCAUGGAGCGCGGACUCCUAAGGAAGUCGCUGGGAAUCCCACCGGCUGUACCGCAGGGCGUUAGUACCUAGAUGGCUUCGGUGCCCCCAAGCGAUGGGCUCAAGCUACAGGGCGGGCUUUGCACCUGGCCUUCUCAGCUCUGAGGCAGGCAGUGGGCAGCUUCGCCUCCACCCUCCGUCCAGCGCCCUUCCCAUGGGGCCAUCCGCCUCUCCCUAAGGCACUAAAAACCAGUGGAGGAGUCAGGCCAUGUUGGCAAAAAGGGCUCGGGCAGCAGCCCCAGACCUAUAGUCCUAAAUAUCCAUGUACCCAGCCCUGGGGUCGCGAGCCAUCUCAGGGACGACCCGAUUCCAGCGGAUGGAGAAGUUCCCUGAAAACACCUGCCUGGGAGGAGAGACGAGGGAACGAGAUUGGGUAACAGCUUGCAGCGUGAUAACACCAUGCAGUGUGAGGGAGCUGUAUGCAGUGGAGCCGCAGGGGUUAGUCAGGCCUCGCCCCUAAAUCUGCCUCUUAAAUAAGAGUCCGUUUCAGCCAAACCUGCCUUUUCCAGUUCCGUGGAGGUCAGUCUGCACAGCCAAUCCCUGACAGUGCUUUACCAUGGAACUGAAACCAUGAAAAGUGAAACUGCAAAUGGGAGAGACUGCUGUAUAGUCACUGAAAAAUUAAUGGAUGAGCUCAACAGCAAAUUAGACACAACUGAAACCUUGGACCCAUGUGUGGAAGAUGACAGCAUCACCAACUGGAGGGUGCCUGGAUCCCUGAGUCACCACUUGAAGCAAAAAGGUCAAGAGUAGCCACCUGACCCAUAUCAGGCUAUGAAAUGAGCAGCAUCUGGUUGCUACAGCAACCCCAGCUCUGCAGGGUGUCCCGAUUACCAGCAGGCUCCCUGCACCUGCCUCAGGCUGAGAGCAGGCGGCUGCCGCCAAGGGGAACACCAAGGAAAUGCCCAUGUUCUGAUUCCAAGGUAAUGGCUCAGACCCAAGGGGAUUUUAUCUGUUCAAUGUGCAACCUGAUGAAGUUUUGUCCCAUGUUAAUAAUUUCAUUAAAAAUAUGGCCUUACAUCCUAUUCGAUGCACUCAGUCUUUUUUUUUUAUUCACUCGGCUCCAUCAAAACACAAAAAGAUAACAUUGUCAUUCAUUUGGGAUUGAGCAAAUGAAAGCAGCUGGAUGAGUUUUGGUUCCAGGGUUUAGACAAAGCCCCUAAGGGACAAAAUUGGAAUCAGAGCUGAGUGGCUGGCCCUGCUCUCUGGAUUUGCAUAAG